rnacentral:rRNA from 1 species
AUUGAACGCUGGCGGCAUGCCUUACACAUGCAAGUCGAACGGCAGCACGGGAGCAAUCCUGGUGGCGAGUGGCGAACGGGUGAGUAAUAUAUCGGAACGUGCCCGGUCGUGGGGGAUAACGUAGCGAAAGCUACGCUAAUACCGCAUACGAUCUACGGAUGAAAGCGGGGGAUCGCAAGACCUCGCGCGAUUGGAGCGGCCGAUAUCAGAUUAGGUAGUUGGUGAGGUAAAGGCUCACCAAGCCGACGAUCUGUAGCUGGUCUGAGAGGACGACCAGCCACACUGGGACUGAGACACGGCCCAGACUCCUACGGGAGGCAGCAGUGGGGAAUUUUGGACAAUGGGCGCAAGCCUGAUCCAGCAAUGCCGCGUGCAGGAUGAAGGCCUGGUGUAACU